rnacentral:rRNA from 1 species
CCUACGGGAGGCAGCAGUGAGGAAUAUUGGUCAAUGGGCGGGAGCCUGAACCAGCCAAGUCGCGUGAGGGAAGACGGUCCUAUGGAUUGUAAACCUCUUUAGGCGGGGAGCAAUGCCGGGCACGCGUGCCCGGAGGGAGAGUACCCGCAGAAUAAGCAUCGGCUAACUCUGUGCCGGCAGCCGCGGUAAUACGGAGGAUGCGAGCGUUAUCCGGAUUUAUUGGGUUUAAGGGGUGCGUAGGCGGAUGUUUAAGUCAGCGGUAAAAUGUCCGGGCUCAACCCGGGCCGGCCGUUGAAACUGGGGAUCUUGAGUGGGCGAGAAGUAUGCGGAAUGCGUGGUGUAGCGGUGAAAUGCAUAGAUAUCACGCAGAACUCCGAUUGCGAAGGCAGCAUACCGGCGCCCGACUGACGCUGAGGCACGAAAGCGUGGGGAUCGAACAGGAUUAGAUACCCCAGUAGUC